AGCAGUGGGGAAUAUUGGACAAUGGGCGAAAGCCUGAUCCAGCCAUGCCGCGUGUGUGAAGAAGGUCUUCGGAUUGUAAAGCACUUUAAGUUGGGAGGAAGGGCAUUAACCUAAUACGUUAGUGUUUUGACGUUACCGACAGAAUAAGCACCGGCUAACUCUGUGCCAGCAGCCGCGGUAAUACAGAGGGUGCAAGCGUUAAUCGGAAUUACUGGGCGUAAAGCGCGCGUAGGUGGUUCGUUAAGUUGGAUGUGAAAGCCCCGGGCUCAACCUGGGAACUGCAUUCAAAACUGACGAGCUAGAGUAUGGUAGAGGGUGGUGGAAUUUCCUGUGUAGCGGUGAAAUGCGUAGAUAUAGGAAGGACCUAGUGGCGAAGCGACCACCUGGACUGAUACUGACACUGAG
rnacentral:rRNA from 1 species